rnacentral:misc_RNA from 1 species
UUCAGCUAAGUGAUCGGAAUAGCGAAAUAACUCGCUAUAACUGAACCUGGCUCGAUAAUCGCAAAAACUGCAAAGUCGACGAGAGUUUCGUGACUCACGCAAUUUAUCGAGCAACUAAUGAGUAUCACACUAGUACAUUAAUUUAUUUAACGAUCGAACCAUUCUAAACAAUUUAUCAGCUUACCGUUUCCACAUCAGACACGAAUCCGCGAGAUCGGUAGCGAUUUUCCGAUCCAGGCAAUUUAUCGAGCGCUUAGGGAAUAUCACGCUGCUAGCUUCGUCUUCACCCGAUUCUUGGGUUUUCUUGCUGACGCGCGGAACGACGAUGGUCCUAAUUCAGGCGUUUUGUCGAGCACCAAGCAAGCGUUGCACGGCAAGAUGACGUCGAGGCGAGGAUCAAAGAUGGACAACCGGCACGGCGCGAUGGCAGCUUGAACAGAGACGAGACCGACGGCGAGGUUGAAGCUGGAGGGGGAGCCGAUGGCGCUGGGGCAAGGGGGUGAGGCCGAGCGCCAUGGGGCAAGCUGGAGGACGAGCUCGGGCGUGGAGAUAGCAGAGGGGCGAGCACCACGGCCAGGCGAGCUGGAAACGGCUGGGAACAGGGAGGGGCUCGCAGAGAAGAAGGGAACGCGAUGCUGGGAGCAGGGGCCUCGGCUGGGAGGAGCUCGACUGGCGGCCAUGGACGGAGGGAAACUCGACGCAGCCAAACUUGAGGAAGAGGAGGGAGGGACAGAGCGCGUGCCGGAGCUGGAGAAGGAGACCGCAAUCCGUACGCCGGCGAGCAGGGGGAGAAGAAAAGCAAGCG